UCAAGUGACUAAGUGCAUGUGGCGGAUGCCUUGGCGAUCACAGGCGAAGAAAGACGCGGCAGCCUGCGAAAAGCUGCGGGGAGCUGGCAAACGAGCUUUGAUCCGCAGAUAUCUGAAUGGGGGAACCCACACCGCAAGGUGUAUCCGUAGCUCAAUACAUAGGUUACGGAGGCGAACGAGGAGAACUGAAACAUCUAAGUAUCCUCAGGAAAAGAAAUCAACCGAGAUUCCGGCAGUAGCGGCGAGCGAACCCGGAGGAGCCCAGCUUUUGAUAGUACGAACUUUAGCCGAAAGGUCCUGGAAAGGCCUGCUAUAGUGGGUGAUAGCCCCGUAGGCGAAAGAGUUGGUACGGUACUAAGGAAGCGAGAAGUAGAGCGGGACACGUGGAAUCCUGUUCGAAGACGGGGGGACCAUCCUCCAAGGCUAAAUACUCGUGAUCGACCGAUAGUGAACCAGUACCGUGAGGGAAAGGUGAAAAGAACCCCGGGAGGGGAGUGAAAUAGAACCUGAAACCGCAUGCAUACAAACAGUAGGAGCCUCAUCAGAGGUGACUGCGUACCUUUUGCAUAAUGGGUCAGCGACUUACAUUCUGUGGCGAGCUUAACCGAAUAGGGGAGGCGCAGCGAAAGCGAGUUCGAAAUGAGCGUCCAGUCGCAGGGUGUAGACCCGAAACCAGAUGAGCUAUCCAUGGCCAGGUUGAAGGUGUGGUAACACACACUGGAGGACCGAACCGACUAGUGUUGCAAAAUUAGCGGAUGAGCUGUGGAUAGGGGUGAAAGGCCAAACAAAUCUGGAGAUAGCUGGUUCUCCCCGAAAACUAUUGAGGUAGUGCCUCGUGUGUCGCUCCAGGGGGUAGAGCACUGUUUUGGCUAGGGGGACAUGGAGUCUUACCAAACCAAGGCAAACUCCGAAUACCUGGAAGCGUGAGCACGGGAGACAGAGCACCGGGUGCUAACGUCCGGACUCAAAAGGGAAACAACCCAGACCGCCGGCUAAGGUCCCAAAUAACAGCUAAGUGGAAAACGAAGUGGAAAGGCCGUGACAACCAGGAAGUUGGCUUAGAAGCAGCCAUCCUUCAAAGAAAGCGUAAUAGCUCACUGGUCGAGUCCUUCUGCGCGGAAGAUGUAACGGGGCUAAGCUGUUAACCGAAGCCGCGGAUGCACUGGUAAUCCAGUGCGUGGUAGGGGAGCGUUCUGUAAGUCUGCGAAGGCGGUUCGAGAGGACUGCUGGAGAUAUCAGAAGUGCGAAUGCUGACAUGAGUAACGUUAAAGCAGGUGAAAAGCCUGCUCGCCGUAAGCCCAAGGAUUCCUGCUCUACGUUCAUCGGAGCAGGGUGAGUCGGCUCCUAAGGUCAGGCCGAAAGGCGUAGCCGAUGGGAAUCAGGUUAAUAUUCCUGAACCUGCGUCAGAUGCGAUGGGGGGACGGAGCAUGAAAGAUCAUCCGGGUGUUGGAAGUCCCGGUUGUUUAGCGUAGGAGGUCUGCAGGCAAAUCCGCAGACGCAUCUCCAAGGCAAAGACACGUGCCGCCACGGCGGCGAAGUGAUCGGAAGUGCUUCCAAGAAAAGCCUCUAAGCACCAGUCUGACGCGGACCGUACCGCAAACCGACACUGGUGGGCGAGCUGAAUAUGCUCAGGCGCUUGAGAGAACUCGGGAGAAGGAACUCGGCAAAUUGACACCGUAACUUCGGAAGAAGGUGUGCCGUAGUAGCGUGAGAGGAGAGACUCCUCGAGCGUGAAUCGGUCUCAGAGAAUAGGUGGCUGCGACUGUUUAUUAAAAACACAGCACUCUGCAAAGUCGAAAGACGACGUAUAGGGUGUGAUGCCUGCCCGGUGCUGGAAGAUUAAUUGAUGGGGUGAGAGCCCUUGAUCGAAGUCCCAGUAAACGGCGGCCGUAACUAUAACGGUCCUAAGGUAGCGAAAUUCCUUGUC
rnacentral:rRNA from 1 species